rnacentral:siRNA from 1 species
AGUGUUGAGUCGGCGGUGAGAAG